GAGGAAUAUUGGGCAAUGGGCGCAAGCCUGACCCAGCCAUGCCGCGUGCAGGAUGAAGGCGCUAUGCGUUGUAAACUGCUUUUAUUCGGAAAGAAACCCAUCUACGUGUAGGUGGUUGACGGUACCGAAUGAAUAAGCAUCGGCUAACUCCGUGCCAGCAGCCGCGGUAAUACGGAGGAUGCAAGCGUUAUCCGGAUUUAUUGGGUUUAAAGGGUGCGUAGGCGGAAUAUUAAGUCAGCGAUGAAAUCCUGCAGCUUAACUGUAGAACUGUCAUUGAUACUGGUAUUCUUGAAUGCAGUUGAGGUAGGCGGAAUGUGUAAUGUAGCGGUGAAAUGCUUAGAUAUUACACAGAACACCGAUUGCGAAGGCAGCUUACUAAACUGUGAUUGACGCUGAGGCACGAAAGCGUGGGGAGCAAAC
rnacentral:rRNA from 1 species